CAGCUUCCUCCCCGCAACCCGGUGAAAGCCAACGCAAUGUUCGGUGCGGGGGACGAGGACGACACCGAUUUCCUCUCGCCGAGCGGCGGUGCCAGAUUGGCCUCACUUUUUGGACUGGAUCAGGCAGCUGCUGGCCAUGGAAAUGAAUUUUUCCAGUACACAGCCCCAAAACAGCCUAAGAAAGGCCAGGGAACGGCAGCAACAGGAAAUCAGGCAACACCAAAAACAGCACCAGCCACCAUGAGCACUCCCACAAUACUGGUCGCAACAGCAGUCCAUGCAUAUCGAUAGUAAGUCGCUGAGAAGGAACACCCUCUGAAGUUUGGUGGAAGGGCGUGCAGUUAAGCUACUUUUUCUCGAAAAACCUCUGUUUGUUGCAAAACGGUUAUUUAGCCCUUCCACGGACAAAAUAUCAGUAGAACUUUUAACAUCUGAAUUGGAGAUUUCUGUGGUAAAACUUGAAAAGCCAUUAUCUUGUCUACUGUCUUUAGGGAGUGCUUGUACCCUCAACAGCUGUCAAAUGCUCAAAGAAAGCCUCUCCACUGAGAUAGCAUGAAUGAUAGAUAUUUAUAUUU
rnacentral:lncRNA from 1 species